GGAUGAGAUGUCCUUGCUGCAGGUCUGGUUUAUGAUCUUCUCUCCUUCAUACCAGGUCAGGUCAACUAUUUGAUUGACUACCCCAUCUGCUGUUGUCGAACCUGCUAGCGGAAUUCGUCCACCUCCGCUAGGACAAUGAUCCUGUAAUGGCGCUCAUUGGUCAUGUGUGAUCAUAUGACUUGGAAAGUCAAGAAAGGAAGUGGGUGAGCCAUAUAACAGAACAGAUACUGCCAGACUUGCAAAAGAUCAUCAGAUUUUGAUCGUAACAUGGACUUUGAAUUUGAAGGACACAUAAAGAAACUUUCAGUCUCAUGGACUGACUCCCUUGAAACACAGAGAACAAAAGAAUAUGGGGAGGACAGGAUAUGAAACGUGGGCAGCAAGUAUAAGUUUUGCACUGAAAACUGAGGAUUUGUGGUUCCACCGAUGACACUGCUACAAAUACUGAACAGCUUUUAUGUAUUUUGAUAUGAAAUAGUGGCUAUUAUUGUGCCUGCUCCAUAUACUUAAGUGAUGAUGAGAUCAGGGUUGAAAUCCUGUAGUGUGAACAAAGCUUAACCUUGUUGCUAUGCACUUGAUUUGUAGCUUACUCUGAA